rnacentral:rRNA from 1 species
GACGAACGCUGGCGGCGUGCUUAACACAUGCAAGUCGAACGAAGUGGCGAACGGGUGAGUAAUACGUGGGUAACCUGCCCUCCUUUUUUGGCUAAGCCUUGGAAACGGGGUCUAAUACCGAAUAAAGGGGGUUGGGCUCGCGGCCUAUCAGCUUGUUGGUGGGGUGAUGGCCUACCAAGGCGGUGACGGGUAGCCGGCCUGAGAGGGUGGCCGGCCACAUUGGGAGUGAGGUACGGUCCAGCCUCCAACGGGAGGCAGCAGGGGGGAAUAUGGGAUAAGGGGAGAAAGCCUGAACCAGCCAUGCCGCGUGUGUGGAGAAGUUUUUCGGAUUUUAAAGCACUUUGAGUUGGGAGGAAGUACCAACAGAAUAAGCACGGGCUAACUUCGUGCCAGCAGCCGGGUAAUAC